GCUCCCCCGGGAGGGCAGGCUGCUGGCGGGGCGUCCUGGCGGGGAGGGCGCGCGUUCCUUGGGAGCCAGCUCGGCGGCCUGUCCCCUGCCCCGGGUUUGUCGCAGCGGUUGCAAUAAUGCAAGUUUCCUGUGGGGCUCUGGACUUCUCCGAGUUGAAGACGGCGAUUCGGGAAGCGAACCGCUCGCGGAGAGACUUGAGGACCCGGGUCGCUGCUGGUCCUCUUCCCUGUUUAAAUUCACGAGCUAAAAACAUUGAUUUCCCCCACGCCUCUCCCUUUUGGAAAACCAGGGUCGUAGGUGCGGACCACAAAGAACAUUCGACCUUGCUUAUGAGAUAGCUUUCUGCGCAGGAAAAGCUCACUUGUUACCAGCAUUUUAACGGGGUCCUUCCCUUCCACCUGGAGACCAGUUGCCCUCGCCGUAAAUAAGCCAUCCCAGUGAGGGUGAAGUGGUAUCGCACUAUGCAGUGGAGGGGCCCUGGAGAAGCGACUCAGCAGAAGCAUGGGCAGUGCUGGACUAUGGGAGGCACUGGGCGCCCGGCAGCUGCCUUCUCCAGGACUAGAGCUGUGCCUCGUGCUGCCUUGUGUCUCAGGGCUUCCAACCUGCCUGGCACUUGUAGUUGACGAUGAGGUCACUAUUGGAUAGAGCAGCUGUAGGCCACAGGCCACUGCCAUUGUGUCACUUCUCCUUGAAGAAUAGAAAGUGGAGGUGGCCAACAGGACUUCGAGGAAGGGGCAUCAGCAGGAUGAUGGUACCUUCUCUGAAGAAAGGCCGAUGGCAUCCAGGUUUCCUCUCUCGGGAAUGUGGCACGUGGCUGGUGUCUGCUGGUUCUUCAGUCUCAGGUAUUGUUGCCUUCAGCUCCUGGUUCCAGUGGCCUCCUCUCUGAGCUUCUGUGGGUCAUCUGUUAGCAUCUCGGGGGCUUUUCUCCCAGUAAUCCCUCUCUCAGCUUUUUCUACCCUUUAUCCUCUCAUAAAGGACUCCAGUUAAAGGACUAAGACCCACCUUGAAUGGGGUGGGUCACAUCUCAAUUGAAACAACCUAAAUGAAAGUUCUUACCCACAACAGAUCUGCACCUACAGGAGUGGAUUAAAAGGACAUGUCUUUUCUGGGGUACCUACCAGCUUCAAACCAGCGCAACUGUCUGGAAACUUGGCCUAUUUCCCCAUUAAGUAUUCCUAUUCUGACUUAUGGGGGAAGAAUUAUACGAUGGUAGCGCUGAAGGAAGGCUGGAGAUGAUUCUAGACCCCUGCAGCCCUCCUUAUGGUCUGAUGGCACACAGCUUGGCUCACUGGAUGCACCUGGCUCUCCUGCAGCCCCUGGCUUUGGUGCACACUUUCCCCCUCUCUGCAAGGCUAGCUCCUCAUGCUUCAACUUAAAUGUCUUAUUGGCGAGACCCUCCCUGACCCCCAAUCUAGAACACACUCCUGUCUUGCUGUUCUCAGAGAUUCCUAGCUUUUCCUGUAUGGCUUUGAGCUCAACUUGCACAGAGAUUAAUGUGUGGUUAACAGGAGCCCCCAAAAGAAAAGGGCCACCCCUGUCUUGCUCCCCGCUGCCUGCGCAGGCCUACCAGUGCCUCAUGCAUAGUUAACUAUUUGUUCAAUCCCUGAAUGGAUGAAGGAAUGCUGUUGUUAUGGAUUGACUUGUAUCUCCCAAAAGAUAAGUUCAAGUCCUAAGCCCUGCUCAGGUGAAUGUGAAGCUGUAAACAGGAUCUUUGCAGGGUUAUUAGUUCAGAUGAGACCAAAAUGGAUUUGGCUGGGCUUGAAUCCCAUCUGAUUGGUGUCCUUAUAAUCAGAGGAAGUUUGGAUGCAGUCUGUAAGAGAGAGAGAGACAGGGAAGGGUGGCCAUGUGGCAGGGGCAGAGAUGGAGUUAGGCCACCACAAACCCAGGACCACUGGGGGUAGCCAGCUGCCCCCAGAAGGCAGAGGAGGGGCGUGGAAUGGUGUCUCCCCUGCGGGAGGGAGCAUGGCCCUGCAACUAACCUAUUCCAGACUUCAGCCUCCAGAACCACAAGACAAUAAACUUCCACGGUGUGGGCCAAUGAGUCUGUGGUUCGAAACCGAGAAGGCCCCCUCUCUCCAACUGUACAUGGAGAAAUAAGCUCACAGAGGAGAAGAUGGAGGUGGCCAUCCCCUUGGGUGCUCAGGUGCUCUCGGUUCAGUCUGCCCCACCCUGCCUCUUCUCUUCCCCUGGGGUGCCUGCCCAGUCCUGGGGGUGGUGCACCGGACCAGUUCUCCUGGUUUCAGAGCCUUGGUCCAGCGGAGCCCCGCCCCGCUGCUUUGAGCGGCGGUGGGCUGGGGGGUGGGGUGGGGGUUCACACUUUAUACCACACACUUCUGCAGUGUUUUAAUCGUUCACAAGGAGCAGGGACUCGUUGCAUUAAACUUCCCCAACAACCCCACCCCCACCCCAGCCAAAGGGAGAAAAGCCCCCACUGGCUUCAAAGAAUAAGAUAUACAAAAAAGAAACACCAUUUCUGCCUUGCUGUGUUUUGUGACUUCCACUAAACAAAGCAAGAGUCCCCAGGGGGGAAGGUGCGGAUGUGUUGGACAUCCUCACCUGGACUGGUGUUGAUGUUGUCACAAACAUUGGGACUGGCGGUUUGAUGUGCUGAGCCCUCCAGCAUGGGACUUGCCCUUAUGAAGCU